AUUGAACGCUGGCGGCAGGCCUAACACAUGCAAGUCGAACGAGUGGCGGACGGGUGAGUAAUGUCUGGGAAACUGCCUGAUGGAGGGGGAUAACAACUGGAAACGGUAGCUAAUACCGCAUACCAUCAGAUGUGCCCAGAUGUGAUUAGCUAGGUGGUGGGGUAACGGCUCACCAAGGCGACGAUCCCUAGCUGGUCUGAGAGGAUGACCAGCCACCCUGGAACUGAGACACGGUCCAGACGCCUACGGGAGGCCGCAGUGGGGAAUAUUGCACAAUGGGCGCAAGCCUGAUGCAGCCAUGCCGCUUGUAUGAAGAAGGCCUUCGGGUUGUAAAGUACUUUCAGCGGGGAGGCGUUACCCGCAGAAGAAGCACCGGCUAACUCCGUGCCAGCAGCCGCGGUAAUAC
rnacentral:rRNA from 1 species